rnacentral:rRNA from 1 species
UACGUAGGGUGCAAGCGUUGUCCGGAAUUAUUGGGCGUAAAGAGCUCGUAGGCGGUUUGUCGCGUCUGCUGUGAAAACUCGGGGCUUAACCCCGGGCCUGCAGUGGGUACGGGCAGACUAGAGUGCGGUAGGGGAGACUGGAAUUCCUGGUGUAGCGGUGAAAUGCGUAGAUAUCAGGAGGAACACCGGUGGCGAAGGCGGUUCUCUGGGACGGUACUGACGCUGAGGAGCGAAAGCGUGGGGAGCAAACAGG